AUAAAUAAAUAAGCUUAAAAAAUAAAAAUAAAAUGUCUUUUAAAAAUAUAUAAAAAUAAAAUUUUGUCUGUCUUUCAAGGCUCAGCUCAAGAACCACCCCCUCCAAGUUGUCUUCCUGGAUUUACUCGGCACCAAAAUUUGCCUUCUCUUUCUUGGAUUGCGGAAGAGUUUCAACAGUCAAAUAAGUCGGAGUCACGAUGUAUGUGAACCGAAGAAGAAUUGUCUCCAGGCGGAAUUCCUUAUCAGGAGUCCCAGGUUUUGGUUCUGACCGGAGCUGCCCUUCCCUGGGGCUGUGGGUGCCCCCUGCCGUGCAGCACACUAAUGAUCUCACGGUGGUGAUGCCAUCUCCGGGAAAAGCCGGCAGUCGAGUAGUCCCCAUUGUCCCAACUCAGAGACUGUCUCUACCUGCCUCACCACCAGAAACAGAGAGGCAGAGUGUUGUCCCGGACCCUGCUCAGGAGAGUGACUCUGCUUCACGGACUGAAGGAGAAACUGAGAACUUGACACGUGCUCCAAGCUUUAGCCUUUGCGUCUGGUGUUCAGUGCUGAGGUUUUGGGACUCUGUCUGUGUCUCCACCUGGCUUGAUGGCGGACAGGCCACAUGACAUGAGAGACAGAGAGAACACAUGAGUGGGGGGGCACUCUGAGAAAGAGAGAGAGAGAGAAAAUCCCAAGGAGGCUCCGCGCUGAGAGCAGACAGCCCAACGUGAGGCCUGAAUGCACGAACCCUGAGUUCACGACCUGAGUCGGAGUUGGACGCUUAACCGACUGAGCCACGCAGUGUCCCAGACAAGUUCAUUUCUUGAGCACUGCUUUUACGUCUCUCCCUGGUCACGUGAGGACCCCAGGCAUUAACACUGGGGCACCUGGGUGGUUCAGUCAGUUGAGCAUCCAACUUCGG